AUUAAAACCAAGCACUUACCUUCCCUUGCAGGAGAAGCCACAAAACCCUCGCUCUCUUCUUUUUUUUCCCCUUUGGGUCUCCAAAUAAUCUCCUGGAUCGCCAAAAAUCCCCCCUCCUUCCCUUCCCUUCCCCUCCGGGGCUCCGAUCCCCUUCUCGCCCUCUUGCGCCCGGGCUUUGCCGAGUCUCCCUCCCUGCCUUCCCCUCCCAAGCCCCGGAGAGCCGCCCGGCCAAUCCGCGGCCUCGUUACUUUGCGCCCGGGCGCAGCCUUUUCUCUCUUUCUGGCUUCUCCUCCCUUCGCUUUGAUUUUUUUGUCACGAGCGGCGCGAUUGGCGGAGGGCAAAAGCACCCGGGCUCCUCAUUGGGCCGCCGCCGCGCCAUUGGGGGAAAAAAGGUCCGCCUCCCUUUGCCAGCUUGCGAAAGUUGCCUCUCCGGUGCGCCUGUUUUGCGCGCUCCGGGCUUGCAGGUUUCGGAGCACAGUUGGGAGCGGCGAUACCCCAUCCGUCCAAGCCAAAAAAAAAAUAAACACCUCUGGCUGGCGAAGAUCUGUGGCUGAAGGAACCAUAAAAAGCAGCUACCAGGUAGACAAAACUGAGACAGGUAGAUCUGAUACGGUUUAAGUCCGUUGCUUGUGCUCCUGUUUAAGCCAUCACUUGAUUCCAUGUAAUGAGGACUAGAAUCUUGGCAUGCCUUCAAGAGGAAAGGCUUUCUGACUCAGUGGUAAUACAGCGGUGCACGACGCAAUGAGAUCACAGCUGUGUUCAGCUUUCCACAACCUGGUGCCCCCAGAUGUUUUUAACUAGAACACCCAUCAUUCCCAGCCCAUUUGAGGCUGAGAGAGUGUAGCUAGUCAGUGGUCACCCGGUGGUGUUCAUGGUUGAGUGAGGAUUUGAACCCAGGCCUCCCAACACUCCCAACAAAUACUCUACACUGCCUCUUGAAGGAGCAAUUAAGAUCCAUUGACUUUACCAAAAAAAAGUAAAGGGCAGGAUCUGUUCUCGAUCUCCUGCUUGUCCAGGAGAAUAUCACUUUCUUUCUUAACUCUUGGCUAUGAUACUGCAGGAUGAUGGUCUUUGGUGGAUGAUGGGGGGUGUAGUUCAACCAGAAGUUGCCCACCCCUCUUAUAUACACUUAACUUGGAAGUAAAUCCCAUUGAAGUCAACUGAACUUGCUUCGGAGUGGACAAACACAGGAUCACACUUCACCACAAUAAUUAGAAGACUGUCGGAGAGGUUAGUGGUUCAGGCCUCUGGCUGCGGAGCCCAAAGGUUGGGAGUUCGAGUCCCGUCACGGCGCCUCCUUGACAGGGACUGGACCCGAUGAUCCGUGAGGGUCCUUUCCUGCUCUGCAGUUCUAAGAUUAUUAUUAUUUUAGCAUUAAAGUACACCUUUGUUUCUUGAGCUGGGGUGAGACUCACGGAGUGGCCAAGGCUGUAUUUAUUUAUGUAGUAAAUGGAAGUCCUUUGCCUGUUGCGAAACUCAAACAUCCAGCUUCUUUCACUGUCAGUGAUGUCACUGAGGCAGAUGGGAUUUGUAGUCAAACCACAGGUUGAGGGUUUCUGUUGUCUGUCCCCGGUUAAGUCUUCUCAGGGUGCCUCAAACUUUCC
ensembl:lncRNA